rnacentral:rRNA from 1 species
UACGAAGGGGGCUAGCGUUGUUCGGAAUUACUGGGCGUAAAGCGCGUGUAGGCGGGUCUUUUAAGUCAGGGGUGAAAUGCCAAGGCUCAACCUUGGAACUGCCUUUGAUACUGGAGACCUUGAGUCCGGGAGAGGUGAGUGGAAUUGCGAGUGUAGAGGUGAAAUUCGUAGAUAUUCGCAAGAACACCAGUGGCGAAGGCGGCUCACUGGCCCGAUACUGACGCUGAGGCACGAAAGCGUGGGGAGCAAACAGG